UCUUGUUCUCUUUACUUCUGUAGUUCUGUAUUAUCGCUUUACCAUUCUCAUAGAAAGACUUCUGUAGUUCUGUAUUUCAUUGGUUAACAAAAUAGAGAGAGAGAGAGAGAGAGAAGAGAGAGCAAAGUUUCGUCCAAGAUUACUCUCUCUCGUAGUCAAACUCUGCUUCAAGAUUUGGUUCUCUCUGCAAGGAUAAAACCAGAAUUCGAAGGCUCGUCAAUAUACCAACACGUUCAAUAAACGCUGGAGAAAAAAGAAAAAACAGAGAAUGAAAAAAGUUUAGAGAAAUUUCUGGCGUGAUAUAUGCAUCGUAAUCAAGAAGAGAACCGGAGGUGAAUUAUUAGAAGGCGACGAGAAGUAACAGAGAUAAACAUUUCACGGCCAGCUAUGAAUGAUCGAAGUUCUCAAUCAAGGCAGAAAGCAAGACAACCCAUCCAGCAAGGAGGAAAAAGCAAAUCAAGCUAUUUGGCCAGAUUCACCGCCAUUAUCCUCAGUUUAUGUUCAAGCAGGUUAUAUUAAGAAAGAUAAUUUUGACCCGGACCCGGAUCGCAAGUGGCAAAGACACCUCGAACAUUCUAUACACUUAAUACACUUUUUGGUUCAUGUACAAAGAAGUUUUCUAGUUUUGGACUUUCUUUGUAUAAUUUAGUUAUUCUAAAGCAUUUCUGGUUCACCAUGGUAACAACAAAAAUUGGUUUUGAAUGGUGACGGUGACAAA